GAUGAACGCUGGCGGCGUGCCUAAUACAUGCAAGUCGAGCGAACAGACGAGGAGCUUGCUCCUCUGACGUUAGCGGCGGACGGGUGAGUAACACGUGGAUAACCUACCUAUAAGACUGGGAUAACUUCGGGAAACCGGAGCUAAUACCGGAUAAUAUAUUGAACCGCAUGGUUCAUUAGUGAAAGACGGUUUUGCUGUCACUUAUACAUGGUUCCGCGCCGCAUUAGCUAGUUGGUAAGGUAACGGCUUACCAAGGCAACGAUGCGUAGCCGACCUGAGAGGGUGAUCGGCCACACUGGAACUGAGACACGGUCCAGACUCCUACGGGAGGCAGCAGUAGGGAAUCUUCCGCAAUGGGCGAAAGCUUGACGGAGCAACGCCGCGUGAGUGAUGAAGGUCUUCGGAUCGUAAAACUCUGUUAUUAGGGAAGAACAAAUGUGUAAGUAACUAUGCACGUCUUGACGGUACCUAAUCAGAAAGCCACGGCUAACUACGUG
rnacentral:rRNA from 1 species